rnacentral:rRNA from 1 species
ACGCUCGACACCUACUGGAGGCAGCAGUCGGGAAUAUUGCGCAACGGAGGAAACUCUGACGCAGUGACGCCGCGUGCAGGAAGAAGGUUUUCGGAUUGUAAACUGCUUUAGACAGGGAAGAAAGAAAUGACAGUACCUGUAGAAUAAGCUCCGGCUAACUACGUGUCAGCAGCCGCGGUAAUCUGAGCGGGCUGGCAAGGC